AGUACCUAUACUCGUAUUAUUAUUUUCUAUACCUAAUUCAAUUCUUAAAAUAUUUUAGAUUAAUUUAAAACAAUUUGGCUCUCAAUAAAAGCCAAAUUGACCACGUUACAAUAGAAAGGCUACAUAAAUAUUGUAUAAGUAACGUAAAGAGCUAUAGGGGAGCGAAUGCAGACAAAGAACCACUACCUUGUUGUUAUACAUUUUCAUGAAAAACUAUCAGUUAGCUAGAGAGGGAAACAACAACAAAAAAGGAGUCAAAAAAUGUUCAACUGGAUUAAUGCCACUGACCAAAAAGAAUUACAUAGAUAUCAAGUCAGAAUUUAUAAAGAGUUAAGUAAAUCACCAACAAUUGAAGUUGAAUUAUAAAUUGAACCGAUCUGGGAACAGCUACUGAAGCAGCAAGUACUCUUCAAGAAAAAAACCCCAAACCCCAAAAAACAUUGGUUUGAUAAACUUGCCGAGACUUAAUAAAAAGUAGCAGUACAUGCAGAUUACAAACGUUGCAAGACGAAACUGAGGAAAACAUACAAGCAUAUAAAGAAGCGAUAAACACAGCCAACAAUGUAGUAAGAUGCUAAAAGAGGUUAGCAGAAAAGAAAGUGAUCGAGGACAUUGAAAACUACUAAAAUGAAUCACGGACUGUUUUUCAAGCAAUGUAAAUUAAGGAUACAAAUCUCAAAACUGCACCAAGUCUGAUGAUUAUGGGAACGCAAGCCAUAGGUGAUCUUAGAAAAAUUCCUAAACAACACAAGUAGUGAACCGAAAUGAUAUUUAAGAACAAAUAAUAUACGACACAAUGCAAUGGAAGUUACUGGAGCCAAAUCUCGACAAAAUUAAGAUGAUCAUCAACUUCCUGAAGAACAACAAAGCACCAGCUAAAGAAUAUUAACUCAGUUAACACUUCUUAAGCUAGCAGGACCAUACUUAGCAACACAGAUACAGAAAUUAAUUGGAAGUAUAUGGGUUAAUGAAAAAAUUCCUAAAGACUAGAACACAGCAAUCAUCCGUCCAAUCUUUAAAGAGGAAGACACAUCUAAAGUUGAAAAUUACCAAGGAAACUCAUUAUUAGACACAAGUUACAAGGCGCUAUCCCUUUCAGUGUUAAAUUGAUUAUAUUAUACAUACAUUUGAGACAUGAUUGGGAAAUACCAGUGAGAAUUUACAAGAGGGAAGUCAACCACACACCAGAUUUUCAUUAUCCAGGAAAUAAUGGAGAAGUUCUACGAAUAUGAUAGAGAUGUGUUCAUGAUUUUUGUAGAAUUCAAACAAGUCUACGAUAGUAUCAGCAGAACAACAACUAAGGCCAUGGAUAAAUUAAUAGAGUUCAGCCACAGAAUAAAUCUUACUAUCAAUGAGGAAAGAAAAAAAUACAUACAAAUUACUCGACGUUCAGUAAAUAAAAUAGAACUAAAAGUGGGUCCUUACUCCUUUGAACGAGUGGAUGAAUUUAAAUACCUUGGAGUCAACAUAAACACAAAAAAAUAAUAUGCUUAAUGAGAUCCAAUUAAGAAUAAAUAGUGCAAAUACAGCAUAUUUUGCCAUGAAUAAGAUUCUUAGCUCUAGACUAAGGUCCAAAGGUACAAAAGAGAAACAGUAUAAUUUUUUUCUACGCCAAUAGUUAUGUAUGCAUGUGAAACAUGGCCCACAACAUAGGAAGAAGAGAUAAAAACUACUCUUUUUUGAAAAGAAAAUCCUGUUCGACUUCAAAAUGGCAAAUAUGAAAGAAGAAAAAAUGAAGAUCUGGAAAUGUUUUUUAACAAGCCGAAUAUUAGAUAAUUCCUGAAAGCAAAAGGCUUGGAGUGGGCUAGUCACGUUUGACAAGCUGUCGAGUCUUACAAGAAACGUCUUAAUCAAAAACCUCCCAAAAAGUGAACAAGAGGAAGACCUCACCAUAGAUGGUUAGAUAGGGUGAAGAAAGAUAUUUUAGACGCCUACAAAUCAAAAUUAUUGGAUGAUGCGAUGGAACGGAAUGGAUGGAGAAACUUGGAGGAAGAUGCAAAAGGCCUAAAUGGCUUGUAAAGUAUUAAAAAAAUUUUAAACAACUAUACCACAACCUAUUGCACUAUUCUACAGUUCAUCAGAGUGUAGUAUUGGCUCUUAAGUUCACAACAAUAAUAUAUAUACAAGGUUUUUGGAACAAUUCGAGCAACAUUCUAUUUAUAGAAAAAUAAAUUUACUUACUAAGGAACUUCAGCGGCCGAUUCAUGCGCAGGGGCGUAUCAUAACUAUACAGAUAGUUGACUUGGUGGGGGUGACAAACGGGUAUUGCCCGACCCCCGCCCGACAAAAAAUGGUUGAUGCCGAGGUUCCUUCUUAGCAUUGAGUAUAUUAACAUACAGACUUCACUCAGUAUAGUUUUUCGUAUGCAAUGAUUUAUCACUGAAUUCAAAC